CAGCCGCCGCGGUAAUACCGAGGGUGCGAGCGUUAAUCGGAUUUACUGGGCGUAAAGCGUGCGUAGGCGGCUUUUUAAGUCGGAUGUGAAAUCCCUGAGCUUAACUUAGGAAUUGCAUUCGAUACUGGGAAGCUAGAGUAUGGGAGAGGAUGGUAGAAUUCCAGGUGUAGCUGUGAAAUGCGUAGAGAUCUGGAGGAAUACCGAUGGCGAAGGCAGCCAUCUGGCCUAAUACUGACGCUGAGGUACGAAAGCAUGGGGAGCAAACAGGAUUAGAUACCCCUGUAGUCCCUGUCUCUUAUAC
rnacentral:rRNA from 1 species